CCCUUAGAUGUCCGGGGCCGCACGCGCGCUACACUGAAGGAAUCAGCGUGGCUUUCUCCCUGGUCCGAAAGGACCGGGAAACCCGUUGAAUCUCCUUCGUGAUAGGGAUUGGGGCUUGAAAUUGUUCCCCAUGAACGAGGAAUUCCCAGUAAGCGCGAGUCAUAAGCUCGCGUUGAUUACGUCCCUGCCCUUUGUACACACCGCCCGUCGCUACUACCGAUUGAACGGUUUAGUGAGGGCCUCGGAUUGGUCUCGGCCCGCUCUUCACCGGGCGGCGCCGUUGGUCGAGAAGACGCUCGAACUUGAUCGUUUAGAGGAAGUUAAAGUCGUAACA
rnacentral:rRNA from 1 species